rnacentral:rRNA from 1 species
GACGAACCGUGCAAACGUUGUUCGGAAUCACUGGGCUUAAAGGGCGCGUAGGCGGGCCAGCCAGUCUGUGGUGAAAGCCUCCAGCUUAACUGGAGAAGUGCCGUGGAUACUGCUGGCCUCGAGGAGGGUAGGGGCAUCUGGAACGGUCGGUGGAGCGGUGAAAUGCGUUGAUAUCGACCGGAACUCCGGUGGCGAAGGCGAGGUGCUGGGCCCUUUCUGACGCUGAGUGCGCGAAAGCCAGGG